AUUGAACGCUGGCGGCAGGCCUAACACAUGCAAGUCGAGCGGUAGCACAGGGGAGCUUGCUCCCUGGGUGACGAGCGGCGGACGGGUGAGUAAUGUCUGGGAAACUGCCUGAUGGAGGGGGAUAACUACUGGAAACGGUAGCUAAUACCGCAUAACGUCGCAAGACCAAAGAGGGGGACCUUCGGGCCUCUUGCCAUCGGAUGUGCCCAGAUGGGAUUAGCUAGUAGGUGGGGUAAAGGCUCACCUAGGCGACGAUCCCUAGCUGGUCUGAGAGGAUGACCAGCCACACUGGAACUGAGACACGGUCCAGACUCCUACGGGAGGCAGCAGUGGGGAAUAUUGCACAAUGGGCGCAAGCCUGAUGCAGCCAUGCCGCGUGUGUGAAGAAGGCCUUCGGGUUGUAAAGCACUUUCAGCGGGGAGGAAGGGAGCAGACUUAAUACGUCUGUUCAUUGACGUUACCCGCAGAAGAAGCACCGGCUAACUCCGUGCCAGCAGCCGCGGUAAUACGGAGGGUGCAAGCGUUAAUCGGAAUGACUGGGCGUAAAGCGCACGCAGGCGGUCUGUUAAGUUGGAUGUGAAAUCCCCGGGCUUAACCUGGGAACUGCAUUCAAAACUGACAGGCUAGAGUCUCGUAGAGGGGGGUAGAAUUCCAGGUGUAGCGGUGAAAUGCGUAGAGAUCUGGAGGAAUACCGGUGGCGAAGGCGGCCCCCUGGACGAAGACUGACGCUCAGGUGCGAAAGCGUGGGGAGCAAACAGGAUUAGAUACCCUGGUAGUCCACGCUGUAAACGAUGUCGAUUUGGAGGUUGUGCCCUUGAGGCGUGGCUUCCGGAGCUAACGCGUUAAAUCGACCGCCUGGGGAGUACGGCCGCAAGGUUAAAACUCAAAUGAAUUGACGGGGGCCCGCACAAGCGGUGGAGCAUGUGGUUUAAUUCGAUGCAACGCGAAGAACCUUACCUACUCUUGACAUCCAGAGAAGCCUGCAGAGAUGCGGGUGUGCCUUCGGGAGCUCUGAGACAGGUGCUGCAUGGCUGUCGUCAGCUCGUGUUGUGAAAUGUUGGGUUAAGUCCCGCAACGAGCGCAACCCUUAUCCUUUGUUGCCAGCACUUCGGGUGGGAACUCAAGGGAGACUGCCGGUGAUAAACCGGAGGAAGGUGGGGAUGACGUCAAGUCAUCAUGGCCCUUACGAGUAGGGCUACACACGUGCUACAAUGGCGUAUACAAAGAGAAGCGACCUCGCGAGAGCAAGCGGACCUCAUAAAGUACGUCGUAGUCCGGAUUGGAGUCUGCAACUCGACUCCAUGAAGUCGGAAUCGCUAGUAAUCGUAGAUCAGAAUGCUACGGUGAAUACGUUCCCGGGCCUUGUACACACCGCCCGUCACACCAUGGGAGUGGGUUGCAAAAGAAGUAGGUAGCUUAACCUUCGGGAGGGCGCUUACCACUUUGUGAUUCAUGACUGGGGUGAAGUCGUAACAAGGUAACCGUAGGGGA
rnacentral:rRNA from 1 species